GGAGGCACCGCCCCUCGCGUGUAAUGACAGUGCGAUGCCGGCGCCUCAUGGGCCUGUCUGUAAUGCGCCUAAGUUCUCAUAUCCUGUUGUCGCAAAGAUGGACAACUAUGACUUCCUGGAUGUUGUUGCACUUCAGCACCCAUCAGCAUAGCUAGUGCAGGGGUUGAAGAGUGUUGUAGGCCAACAACAUCUGAAAGGACAUACAUUCUCCAUUCCUGUCUUUUUGUGCUUUUAAAAUUGUGGUUUAUUUAAAUUUUAUGAUAUUCCAGCAGUCUGAUAGUUUGUGAUUAUGGUGUUGCAGAUGUUGCUGGACAGCAGCUCCCGUCAUCCUUAGCCAGAAUAGUCAGUGUUGAGCGCUGAGAACUGCCGUUCAAAAACAUCUGGAGCACUGCAAAAUUGCCUAUCCAUGAUGUUAGUUAUUGUGAACUUGAAUCCUGGGCAGUAAUGGAUAUAGGUGGCAAACACACCAUGCACUUUGUGUGUCAAGUGAAUGAUCUGCAAACACAAAGAUAAAGACAACGGUGGUAUACCCAGCAACAGAGAAACAUCUCCAGAAAUACUUGCGUCAGGAAGUGUAUCUUAUCCAGGAGACUUGGGAGGAUUACAAGAACAUUACUCUGCCUUUUAUCGAAUCACAGAGUUUCAGUAUUCAGAAGAGGUUGCCCACUGAGUGAGAAAUGAUGGAGGUGAGAGCUUUUGUCCAAGAAUCUCUGCCCAAACACUGUUUGGAUAAGUUUGGCCUGCAUCCCUUAUAUCUACACCAAGGCCCUUUUCAAGACAUGUCGCUAUUUUAACAGAUAGGCCUCCCCCUCCCCCUAAAUAAGCAGAAUAAAUACUAUAACAAUAUUUGGUCAUUUGCUUUGGCUUUUUUUGUAUGUAGUUUCAUCCAGCAGCUGAUAGCUUUCAGUUUGUGCUAAAAAUAUUUUUACUAUGUUUCCCCACUCAAGUGGAGUAUAAUGGAAGAGGGCUUUGAAUAAGAAUACUCUGCACUGCAUAGUUUCUUGGGAGGUCCUGUUUGUAACAAAUAUGUGGCAUUACGUAUAUUAAAAAACUGAUAUUAGUAAUUGUUGCCAGGUUUCCCAUUUCCUUUUCUUUGUUUUCAACGGUGUUUGAUGAAGGGGACAUACAUAUGUGCAUGUGUGUGCGUCUGCAUGUGCGUGUGUGUUAAAGGUCAUGCAUGCCAAAGAAAACGAAAAAUUAUGGUGCCCAGGCUAUUGUUGUUACUUUUAAAUAUGUUGACAAUAAAAGAGAGAAAUGUUGGUAUUAUGUGUUUUCCUUGUUUGUUGCAUAUUUAUUCAUUAUUUCAGAAAUAUUUGGAGGGGAUUUGGUACAGUUCAUUGUAGUGGGUAUUAUAUUAAACAAAUAAUAGAAAAACAAUGACAAAUAAGUGUUUAUAUAUUACAAGCAAAUCAAGAAUAAUUAAUAAUGAGUACCAUGUUACUUGGAAAAGCUUAUGAGUAUUGCAUCGCUUUAAAAAAUAAUGAUUGCAAGCUCUGCUGAUGCUGUUUGUCUGCUUAGCUUAGUAUAUUUUACUCUGACUGGCAGAGAUCUUUCCCACCAUUUGCUACUUGAUCCUUUUUGGCCAUAGGUGCCAGGGAUAAUUCCUGCCACCUUGACCAGAUAAAGCAUGUGCUCUGCCACUGACCUACUGCAUGCCUCUUGUGUGGCCUCAGGCCUUCAUAACAGAUGUGUUGCUGUUGCUGUUGUUGUUGUUGCUGCUGCUGCUGCUGUUGUUGUUUUAAAAGGGAAGGGUGAAGCUUUGGAGAGGCUCC